rnacentral:rRNA from 1 species
GCAGUCGAGCGGUAAGGCCCCUUCGGGGGUACACGAGCGGCGGACGGCUGAGUAACACGUUGGUACCUGCCCCGGACUCAGGGAUAACCAGCCGAAAGGCUGGCUAAUACCGGAUAUCCCGACUUGUCGGGAAAGAUUUAUCGGUUCGGGAGGGGCCUGCGGCGUAUCAGUUUGUUGGUGAGGUAACGGCUCACCAAGACUAUGACGCGUACCUGGUGAGAGCACGACCAGGCAGAGUGGGACUGAGACACGGCCCACACUCCUACGGGAGGCAGCAGUGAGGAAUUUUCCGCAAUGGGCGAAAGCCUGACGGAGCAAUCCCGCGUGGAGGAUGACACCCCUCGGGGCGUAAACUCCUUUUCUGAGGGAAGAAAUUCUGACGGUACCUCAGGAAUAAGCGACGGCAAAUUCCGUGCCAGCAGCCGCGGUAAUACGGAAGUCGCAAGCGUUAUCCGGAAUCAUUGGGCGUAAAGCGUUCGAAGGCGGUCAGGGAGGUCUGAUAUUAAAUACCUGCGGCUCAACCGAGGUGUCGUAUCGGAAACCAUCUGACUAGAGGAAGACAGAGGCAACUAGAAUUCCCAUUGUAGGGGUAAAAUCCGUAGAUAAUGGGAGGAAUACCGAAAGCGAAGGCAGGUUGCUGGGUCUUUCCUGACGCUGCGCGAACGAAAGCGUGGGGAGCGAAAGGGAUUAGAUACCCCUGUAGUCCACGCCGUAAACGAUGAACACUCGGUGUACGCCGGCUCAACCCCGGUGUGUGCCCAAGCUAACGCGUUAAGUGUU